GACGAACGCUGGCGGCGUGCUUAACACAUGCAAGUCGAACGGAGUGGCGAACGGGUGAGUAACACGUGGGUGACCUGCCCUACACUUCGGGAUAAGCCUGGGGAACUGGGUCUACUACCGGCUAGUGUGUGAUGGGCCCGCGGCCGAUCAGCUUGUGGGUGGGGUAAUGGCCUACCAAGGCGGCGACGGGUAGCCGGCCUGGGAGGGUGGACUGCCACAUUGGGACUGAGAGACGGCCCAGACUGGUACGGGAGGCAGCAGUGGGGAAUAUUGCACAACGGGGGGAAGCGUGAUGCAGCGACGCUGGGUGGGUGAUGACGGUCUUGGGGUUGGAAACUCCUUUCACCUUAGACGCGGUAGAUGGAGAAGAAGCACCGGCUAACUACGUGCCAGCAGCCGCGGUAAUUC
rnacentral:rRNA from 1 species